rnacentral:rRNA from 1 species
AGCGAACGUUAGCGGCGCGCCUAACACAUGCAAGUCGCACGAGAAAGGGUUUCGACCCCGGUAAAGUGGCGCACGGGUGCGUAACACGUAGGCAAUCUUCCCUCGGGCGGGGGAUAACGUUUCGAAAGAGACGCUAAUACCGCAUGAGACCACGGACGCUUCGGCGACUGAGGUCAAAGCUGGCCUCUUCAUGAAAGCCAGCACCUGAGGACGAGCCUGCGGCCCAUCAGCUAGUUGGCAGUGUAAUAGACUACCAAGGCGAAGACGGGU